rnacentral:rRNA from 1 species
UACGGAGGAUGCGAGCGUUAUCCGGAUUUAUUGGGUUUAAAGGGUGCGUAGGCGGUUUUAUAAGUUAGAGGUGAAAAUUCGGGGCUCAACUCCGGACGUGCCUCUAAUACUGUAUGACUAGAGAAUAGAUGCGGUAGGCGGAAUGUAUGGUGUAGCGGUGAAAUGCGUAGAGAUCAUACAGAACACCGAUUGCGAAGGCAGCGUACCGGCGCCCAACUGACGCUGAAGCACGAAGGCGUGGGUAUCGAACAGG